rnacentral:rRNA from 2 species
CGAGCUUCCGUUGAAUGACGUGCUUGCACUGAUUUCAACAAUGAAGCGAGUGGCGAACUGGUGAGUAACACGUGGGGAAUCUGCCCAGAAGCAGGGGAUAACACUUGGAAACAGGUGCUAAUACCGUAUAACAACAAAAUCCGCAUGGAUUUUGUUUGAAAGGUGGCUUCGGCUAUCACUUCUGGAUGAUCCCGCGGCGUAUUAGUUAGUUGGUGAGGUAAAGGCCCACCAAGACGAUGAUACGUAGCCGACCUGAGAGGGUAAUCGGCCACAUUGGGACUGAGACACGGCCCAAACUCCUACGGGAGGCAGCAGUAGGGAAUCUUCCACAAUGGACGAAAGUCUGAUGGAGCAAUGCCGCGUGAGUGAAGAAGGGUUUCGGCUCGUAAAACUCUGUUGUUAAAGAAGAACACCUUUGAGAGUAACUGUUCAAGGGUUGACGGUAUUUAACCAGAAAGCCACGGCUAACUACGUGCCAGCAGCCGCGGUAAUACGUAGGUGGCAAGCGUUGUCCGGAUUUAUUGGGCGUAAAGCGAGCGCAGGCGGUUUUUUAAGUCUGAUGUGAAAGCCUUCGGCUUAACCGGAGAAGUGCAUCGGAAACUGGGAGACUUGAGUGCAGAAGAGGACAGUGGAACUCCAUGUGUAGCGGUGGAAUGCGUAGAUAUAUGGAAGAACACCAGUGGCGAAGGCGGCUGUCUAGUCUGUAACUGACGCUGAGGCUCGAAAGCAUGGGUAGCGAACAGGAUUAGAUACCCUGGUAGUCCAUG